UACGUAGGGGGCAAGCGUUGUCCGGAAUCAUUGGGCGUAAAGCGCGUGUAGGCGGUUGUCCAAGUUGGAUGUGAAAGCCUUGAGCUUAACUCAAGAAAUGCAUUCAGGACUGGAUGACUAGAGGACCGGAGAGGAUAGUGGAAUUCCCAGUGUAGUGGUGAAAUACGUAGAGAUUGGGAAGAACACCAGUGGCGAAGGCGGCUAUCUGGACGGUUUCUGACGCUAAGACGCGAAAGCGUGGGGAGCAAACAGG
rnacentral:rRNA from 1 species